rnacentral:misc_RNA from 1 species
UUGAUUUUAAUGUUUUCAUUCAGACGACAUACGAGUUUCUGCAUAAAAGCGACCACCCCAAAGGGAGGCCGAAGCACGAUAUUGGCUUCCACAUGUUUUAAGGGUAGAAGGUCAAAGACCAUUCAAUAAUGAUCCCUCCGCAGGUUCACCUACGGAAA